rnacentral:rRNA from 1 species
UUUCCGGUUGAUCCCGCCGGAGGCCAUUGCUAUUGGGAUUCGAUUUAGCCAUGCUAGUCGUGCGAGUUCAGACUCGCGGCACCGAGCUCAGUAACACGUGGCCAAACUACCCUACAGAGACGGAUACCCUCGGGAAACUGAGGUUAACCCGUCAUAUCGAUCUCAGGCUUGAAUCGCAGAGAUCACAAAACGCCCCGGCGCUGUAGGAUGUGGCUGCGGUUGAUUAGGUAGACGGUGGGGUAACGGCCCACCGUGCCCAUAAUCAGUACAGGUUGUGAGAGCAAGAACCUGGAGACGGAAUCUGAGACAAGAUUCCGGGCCCUACGGGGCGCAGCAGGCGCGAAACCUUUACACUGCACGCACGUGCGAUAAGGGGACUCCGAGUGCGAGGGCAUAUCGUCCUCGCUUUCGUGUACCGUAGGGAGGUGGACGAAUAAGGGCUGGGCAAGACCGGUGCCAGCCGCCGCGGUAAUACCGGCAGCCCAAGUGAUGGCCGAUCUUAUUGGGCCUAAAGCGUCCGUAGCUGGCUGCGCAAGUCCGUCGGGAAAUCCACUCGCCCAACGAGUGGGCGUCCGACGGAAACUGCACAGCUUGGGACCGGAAGGCUCGAAGGGUACGUUCGGGGUAGGAGUGAAAUCCCAUAAUCCCGCACGGACCACCGAUGGCGAAAGCACUUCGAGAAAACGGAUCCGACAGUGAGGGACGAAAGCCAGGGUCUCAAACCGGAUUAGAUACCCGGGUAGUCCUGGCCGUAAACAAUGUUCGCUAGGUAUGACACAGACUACGUGUCUCUGUUGUGCCGUAGGGAAGCCGAGAAGCGAACCGCCUGGGAAGUACGUCUGCAAGGAUGAAACUUAAAGGAAUUGGCGGGGGAGCACUACAACCGGAGGAGCCUGCGGUUUAAUUGGAUUCAACGCCGGAA